CCUACGGGAGGCAGCAGUGGGGGAUAUUGCACAAUGGGGGGAACCCUGAUGCAGCGACGCCGCGUGGGUGAAGAAGCGCCUCGGCGCGUAAAGCCCUGUCAGCAGGGAAGAAAAUGACGGUACCUGAAGAAGAAGCCCCGGCUCACUACGUGCCAGCAGCCGCGGGAAUACGUAGGGGGCAAGCGUUAUCCGGAUUUACUGGGUGUAAAGGGGGCGCAGACGGCGAUGCAAGCCAGGAGUGAAAGCCCGGGGCCCAACCCCGGGACUGCUCUUGGAACUGCGUGGCUGGAGUGCAGGAGGGGCAGGCGGAAUUCCUGGUGUAGCGGUGAAAUGCGUAGAUAUCAGGAGGAACACCGGUGGCGAAGGCGGCCUGCUGGACUGUAACUGACACUGAGGCACGAAAGCGUGGGGAGCAAACAGGAUUAGAUACCCCAGUAGUC
rnacentral:rRNA from 1 species